CUCCUAUAGAAGAUUUUUGUCUCCUGAACCCCUUGAAAGAAAAAUUGCUCUGUAGAAGUAAGAAAUAAUUUGGAUUUGAUUGAGUUUUCUAAGAGUGAAUGAAGAGGAAGGAAGACAGAAAGGGAAGACAGAUCAACCAGAGAGAUGAUAUGAAGCUGUAUAGGGUCUCCCAAUGAAGGAAAACCACAUCUGGACCAGAUGCAGAGAUUAUUACAUCACCCUGGAACUCCUGGACUUUGAGCUGGAAUAAGGGAUAUAAUGCUGAGAAAUAAAGAAAGAGAAACAUUGAGUUCAUAACCCCACACAUGGCUGUAGCUGUACACACCUCCAAAAGGUGGAUGUCAUGAAGCAGGAAGAUUAACAAUUGAAAAAUAUAUAUGGAGAGAAAAAAACCUAAGGCAUUGUCAGAAGUGCUGCAUUCCACUUUAUGAACCCUGAAGUAAUGGAUCUACAAGAGGUAUAUGCAGGAGCCUGUUAUUGACUGUGAAGACAUUCUGCAUUGGUUGACUGUGAACUGAAGUAUCAUUUUCUCUCUCAUCCUGGCACCUGGAUAAUAUUAAAUUUGAACCUUUGGUUUGAUUGAUACAUCUCAGCAGCAGGACAGUUAGACAUUUAUGUCAUAAAACCAAAAUGAAAUAUUUUAUAUCAUUGAACAUGGCCCUGCAAGGUACAGUAGUUAAAACCAAGUAAAGUUAGUAUCAAUUUUACAGUUAUUUAAAAGGCAUACACACAGGCACACACAUGCCCACAUACACAUAAACCCACCAUAGAAAUGCCCCCCUUUUUUUUGUUUUGGAAUGACAUUUAGUAAAACAUAAAGUUACCUAAAGAAGCUGAGGUAGCAGCUUUAAAUGCAAUAAACAGGGACCUACUUACAUAUGCAAAACAGGGACUCACAGGUGCAAGAAAGGUAAUUGCUGGUACAAAAUAUGCCAUUACCUGUUUUACAUGCACAACUGCCUGAUCUGUAAUGGCAACUAGCUGAUCUUCCUCUGCAUAAUUUUUAUACACAAAUUAGUCACUGUGGAAAAUUUGGCACGGAUAUUUCUCCGUUCUGAAAAUAUAUUAUAUACAGAAGACAAUAGAAGCAUUCGAAUCAGUCAGUAGAACACAUUUUCUGUUUAUUUUUAUUUAUUAAAAACGAGGAAACCUCUUUUGGAAUCUUAUUUUUCUUCCCCUGCUAAAAAGUUUUUGUCAUUGUUGUUGUUUUGUACAGUGUGUUUCAUUAGUGCUUUAAAAUCUGCUGAAGCCAAGCAGCAACUUGCCUGCCUAUUAGUUUAACUGAAGGCCCAUCACAGCAGUGCGUUAUGCAUUGUCUUGGGAACAAUUAAGACAUGCCAUCCCCACAAAGCAGUUUUUAAGUGGGCAAAAUAUAUUUAAUGGUAGGGUUUGUGGCACCCAGAAUGGAAAUACAAUGCAAACUGUGGGGAAUAUGUACUUGCCCUAACAUUAAACAGGUUUCUUAAAAUUCACAUAUACACUCUGGGGGAUAUGGUGUCCUGUGUGUACAUUUCAAGUGUUGCUAAUGAAAUGUUUUUUGUCUAUGGCAGCCUAUGCAUAAGAGUGUAAUCUGUGGCCAGCCAAAGGGCACUGUUAACAGCAGCAAUAAUGCAAAUUUAAUAUGCACAUAAUGAUUGAUCUCUUUAGUAAAAAGCUUAUGAAUAAUAUUCACAUUUAGGACAAGAGCUAAAGUACCCUGGGAAUCAGGCAUCAAGAGUCUAGCUAUUGAUGGAUUUAGACAGGUCAGACAAUGUCAGUCUAACAGCAUUUGAUCGAUAUAGACAAAUGUGUCAGAAAGGUGAUUUGAGAAAUACCUUUAUAAUAUAUACAAACAUCAGAUUUAGUAUCCUCUUUCUUAUCAUAAUGUGAUCCACAUAUGUUUCUAAAGCAAGGGUGUUUUUUAUUAUUUCUAUUUCGGGUGCUCAUGGUAGGUCAAAUUAAAACACAGUAUGUGUCCAGUUCAGCCAUCCUGCUCACAAUAUCAUAUGAUAUGUAAAAAAAGUAGUGUUGAUUUCAUGUAGAACUAAUAUGUCACUCUUAAUAUGUUUUUUAACACUGAAAUUUGGGAGCCGACUUUAGUCGAGGUCACUGUGUGCUUCAUUUAAUACAAUUAACAGGUUUCUUAGUUUAGAGGACAUAUUUCUUGUAACUGAAAAGAUUAUCCACAGCUUUGUAGCAUUUCAGUGUCUAGAUUAUUACAAAAGAGUGAGUUUAAAGUUUUUCUAGGAAACUGAUGGAAGAAGUUUGGUAUUAAAGUUGAAUUUUUACUCUAGGAGUCAUUAUUGCAGAGAAUCAGAAUCAGUAUUUAGGCAUUUAGAUCCAGAUGGCAUUCUUGGGUUACCCUCUAAGAUCUGUAAUAAUAAAUUGUGCAAAAUGUUUUUGAUGACUUUCUUAGUGGUAAUUUUUAUUUGUUUAUUUGUUUUUAGUUUUUUCGAGACCAGGAUGCAGAUGAGUUCUAGUAUAUAAAUUUAAUAUCUAAAUGUAUUUCAUAAUAUUUCUAUGUGAAGUAAUAGUUUAGUUAGCAUUAUUUGUUUCAUUGCCUCAUGUGAAACUGUGAGAGCAGAAGUUGAGUUUUAAUUGUUUCUUUAGUUGAAGUAAGUAGCCGUGAUAAUAAUGUUCUUUCAAAAGAACUAACAUACAAAUAAAUAUAUGUAAAAUAAUACAGGAAGGGAGGGAAAGAAGAAAGACUGGAAAAUGUUUGAUUUUUUUUUUUUCCCAUUUGUAUGAGAACAUGUUACAGUGUGGACAGUGCUCUUCUAAAUAGACUGUAUGACGGUUAAUUCUGUGUCAACUUGACGGGGCCAUGCAGUGCCCAGAUUAAAUAUUAUUUCAGGUUUUGUCUGUGAGUGUGUUUUCAUAUCAGAUUAACACUUUAAUCAGUGAACUCAGCAAAGCAGAUUGUCCUCCUCAACAUGGGUGGGCACCAUCCAACCUGUUGAGGUCCUGAGUUGAAUAAUGAAAUGGAGGAUAGGAGGACUUGAACUCCUUCUCUUCUUGCCUGCUUGCUUGAGCUUGGACAUGAGUCUUCUCUUGCCCUUGACUGGGAUUUAUAUUAUCUAUUCCCCUGGGUCUCGGGCCUUGAGACUCAGACUGGAAUUACACCACAGGAUCUCCUGGGGCAUCAUCCUGCAGAUAGCGGAUCAUGGGACUUAGAUUCCAUAAUUAUAUGAGCCGAUUCAUCAUAAUAAAUCUAUAUCUGUAUAAUCUAUGUACUAUAUCUAAACUAUUAGUUCUGUUUGUCUGGAGAACUUUGACUAAUACAAUAAUGUUUAUGAAAGUAUAAGAUAUCUAAAUACUGUGAGAUUUCUAUUUUGAGAACAAUUAGUAUUUUAAAUAUUAAAGAAGGUACAAUCUCAACAUCUCAUUGUCAGUUGUGAGGGAUGCAACGGGCAUCUUUACUAAUUAAUGAAACUGCAUGUCAAAAAAUUUAUCAAUACCCAAUAAUGUUUCUUGAUAUUUCAAAUUAAUUAUUCUGAUCUUUUCCAAGAGAUGUUAAAGAACACAUAAGAACUAAGUGUUCUACCUAAUUUCAAGCAAGUGUAAACAGAAAAAUAUACCAUCAGCUUCAAUAGUUAACGAUGGGCAAAAUAAAAUGUAAUAUUAUUGUUAACGGAUACACUUUUUGCUGAAAUGUGCAUUUACUUUCACAUAAUUCUAUUCUUUCUCAAAGUAACUUUUUGUAUGGAUGGGUGAAUGUCAUAUAAUUUUUAUAACACUAUAUACUUUUUGUGGAAAAAGACAUAUAAACCAAAGAAAAUGUGCUCUGUGGAGCCAUGUGUCCUCAUUUUUUAAUCUGAAUACAGGAACAACCUGUAUAUACCUUUCAUACAAAAUAUACAUCAGGUAUGGAAAGUAAUGUGUCCGUUUUAUUAUAGAAAAAAGUGGUUGGUAGCUGGAGAUGAUAUAGGAAUAAUAAUAUCUUUGAAGAAAAAAAAUGAAAGUGAAGCCCUUUACAAAACAAGAAUUGAUUUUGAGCGGGAUCAAUACAUGUUUGCAUAUAAAAAUUAUACCAACUUUGGAAAAUACAAUGAAAGUGUUGAAAUCUGGAAAUUGCUAAUGGAAAAUGAACACUUGAGAAUAAAAGGCACAAAAUGGAGACUUAAAUAAAGUGGUGCAAAGUUGUUUCUGAAAAUAUUCGUUAUGAUUCAAUAAAACUAAGAUAAUUGGCUCUAAGCAUAUAUACAUUCUGUUUGGACCUA